AUCCCAGCCAGGUUUGUGCCACGCAGCAUUCCUUAUAUCUUCUCUGGUCUGGAGAUCUUUGUAAGCUGGCAAGAGACAACAGCGAGCACAAAGCUUCCUGAUCUUGCUCUCCGUACCACGUGUUCCAAGUCCCCACCAGUGCACAUGGGUAGUGUUUUUCUUCAUGAAUCUUUGGCAGCACCUCUUGACUUGAAAACAAGGAAUACAGACACUAUGUUGCAUUUCCUUCAGGGAGGCUACAGUUGAUAUGUAUAACAAAUCACCACACGUUUAUCAUUAUGGUACGAAAAUUCACAAGCUCUACGUUUCAGAAGAGAAAGCUGAAAUACAAGAAUCUGCUUUGCGAGGGGAAAGAUAGCUACAGCUCUACAUAAAAAUAAGGUGAGUGCUACUAUUUCUUACUGUAUGACAAAUGCACACCAUGGUAGAACACUCUGGAUGCAAUGAAUUACGUGAUAACACCCGGGUUAUCCAACACAUUAGGGAAACAAACAUCAGGAUGUCUCACAGGAAGCACAGCCUAGCUACACGGGUGAUUUGCUUUAGGAAAACGUUUUCUUCAUCAACACAAUACACAAUAGUAGAAAAGGACAGGCUUUCUUCUUUACCAGCAACAAUGUUAUUAAUAAAAAUUAAUUAAUUAAAUUAAUUAAUAAAAACAAGUGUUUUGAUUGACCAAAUGAAG